rnacentral:tRNA from 1 species
AUUGUUUUGGCAGAAUAGUGCAAUUGAUUUAGAAUCUUUAUAUAUAGAUAAAACUAUAGGCAAUA